UUGUGCUCUCUUAAAUUUAUUUAUUUAAAAUGAAUUCUAAAUGUGAUAAAUGCUUAAAGGUUAUUGAUGAUAUUUCCUUUCUUUCGUGUGGUGUUUGUGGCAGAAGCAUACAUGCGAGUUAAGAUUCAUGAAUAACACGUACUUGUAAUUAAACUCUAGGCCCAAAAUAUGAAUAUUGUUUCCAAACCUAAAUUAGUAAUAAGCUAUAAAGUUCCAUUCUUAGAAAACAGAUUUAAAUGAAUCAUCUUGAAACCAAAUGCUCUUUGUUCAAGUCUCUUUUCCUAGAGUAUAAAUACUCCAAAUAAAUCAGAUAUGGAGUUCAGUUUUUAGUAACGAUAGCUGAUGUAUUGAUGUAUUGUUUAUAAGUGACAUAAAUAAAGUAUUAUUUUUUAAAAACUCAUUCUGGAGGUGAAGUAAAUUAAGUUGCAUUCAUUUCACAAUUUAUUGACAGAUGGCUCAACAUUUUAAAAUCGCAUACCUAAACAAACCUGUAAGCUGUUAAGUACUUUGUGUGCAGCUCUUUCUCGUUUUUUCCAACAAAUAAGUAAUGGAUAGGUUUGUUAUUAAAAAGCCAAGGACUGAGUCGGCAGUAGAAAGUUCCACAAAUGCAGAUGAGCCGUCAUCUUCAAGCAAUUGUGAUCAAAAUGUGGACCAAAAAAACACGAAGCGGAGAGAAAAUUUAGACAGGAAUGGCUACAAAAAUUCAAUUGGCUUAACCAUGAAGCUGACAAAAGCUUUUGUGCUGCUUGUGACAAAAUUUU